rnacentral:rRNA from 1 species
GUGGGGAAUAUUGGACAAUGGGGGAAACCCUGAUCCAGCAAUGCCGCGUGAGUGAUGAAGGCCUUCGGGUUGUAAAGCUCUUUUAUCAGGGAAGAUAAUGACGGUACCUGAUGAAUAAGCUCCGGCUAACUUCGUGCCAGCAGCCGCGGUAAUACGAAGGUAGCUAGCGUUGUUCGGAAUUACUGGGCGUAAAGGGCGCGUAGGCGGCCUUGUAAGUUAGAUGUGAAAGCCCCGGGCUUAACCUGGGAACUGCAUUUAAGACUGCAAAGCUAGAGGACGAGAGAGGAAAGUGGAAUUAUGAGUGUAGAGGUGAAAUUCGUAGAUAUUCAUAAGAACACCAGUGGCGAAGGCGACUUUCUGACUCGUAUCUGACGCUAAGGCGCGAAAGCGUGGGGAGCAAACAGGAUUAGAUACCCUAGUAGUCC